rnacentral:tRNA from 1 species
GGAGAGGUCACCAUUGGCAAGGCAAGUCGUUUGCUAAACGAUCGAGGUUUAAUCCCCUCUGUGGGUUCGACUCCCACUCUCUCCGCCA